GGGCCCGUAGCUCAGUGGUAGAGCAUCUGACUUUUAAUCAGAUGGUCGGUGGUUCGAUCCCACCCGGGCUCACCA
rnacentral:tRNA from 1 species